UGGAUGAUGUGGUUUAAUUCGAUGCAACGCGAAAACCUUUACCCACCUUUGACAUGUACGGAAUCCUUUAGAGAUAGAGGAGUGCUCGAAAGAGAGCCGUAACGCAGGUGCUGCAUGGCUGUCGUCAGCUCGUGUCGUGAGAUGUUGGGUUAAGUCCCGCAACGAGCGCAACCCUUGUCAUUAGUUGCUACAUUCAGUUGGGCACUCUAAUGAGACUGCCGGUGACAAACCGGAGGAAGGUGGGGAUGACGUCAAGUCCUCAUGGCCCUUACAUCCCGGGCUACACACGUGCUACAAUGGCAGGUACAGAGGGCUGCGAAGCCGCGAGGUGGAGCGAAUCCCAGAAAACCUGUCUCAGUCCGGAUUGAAGUCUGCAACUCGACUUCAUGAAGGCGGAAUCGCUAGUAACCGCGAAUCAGCAGGUCGCGGUGAAUACGUUCCCGGGCCUU
rnacentral:rRNA from 1 species